rnacentral:rRNA from 1 species
UGGUAGUCCACGCCGUAAACGGUGGUAACUAGAUCUGGGUUUCCUUCCUUGGGAUCCGUGCCGUAGCUAACGCAUUAAAGUACCCCGCCUGGGGAGUACGCACGCAAGGCUUAUACUCAAAGGAAUUGACGGGGGCCCGCACAAGCGGCGGAGCAUGUGGAUUAAUUCGAUGCAACGCGAAGAACCUUACCUGGGUUUGACAUGCACAGGACGCGUCUAGAGAUAGGCGUUCCCUUGUGGCCUGUGUGCAGGUGGUGCAUGGCUGUCGUCAGCUCGUGUCGUGAGAUGUUGGGUUAAGUCCCGCAACGAGCGCAACCCUUGUCUCAUGUUGCCAGCGGGUAAUGCCGGGGACUCGUGAGAAACUGCCGGGGUCAACUCGGAGGAAGGUGGGGAUGACGUCAAGUCAUCAUGCCCCUUAUGUCCAGGGCUUCACACAUGCUACAAUGGCCGGUACAAAGGGCUGCGAUGCCGCAAGGUUAAGCGAAUCCUUUUAAAGCCGGUCUCAGUUCGGAUCGGGGUCUGCAACUCGACCCCGUGAAGUCGGAGUCGCUAGUAAUCGCAGAUCAGCACG